UAUCGGGCACUUGCUAAACUU
rnacentral:siRNA from 1 species